rnacentral:rRNA from 1 species
GAGUUUGAUCGUGGCUCAGAACGAACGCUGGCGGCAGGCUUAACACAUGCAAGUCGAACGCCCCGCAAGGGGAGUGGCGCAAGGGUGAGAAACGCGUGGGAAUUUGCCUUUUGGUUCGGAAUAACCACAGGAAACUGUGGCUAAUACCGGAUGGUCCCUUCGGGGUAAAGAUUUAUCGCCAAAAGAUGAGCCCGCGUCAGAUUAGCUAGUUGGUGGGGUAACGGCCUACCAAGGCAACGAUCUGUAGCUGGUCUUAGAGGACGAUCAGCCACACUGGAACUGAGACACGGUCCAGACUCCUACGGGAGGCAGCAGUGGGGAAUAUUGGACAAUGGGGGCAACCCUGAUCCAGCCAUGCCGCGUGAGUGAUGAAGGCCUUCGGGUUGU